rnacentral:rRNA from 1 species
CCUACGCGCGGCAGCAGUGAGGCAUAUUGGUCAAUGGACGAGAGUCUGAACCAGCCAAGUAGCGUGAAGGAUGACUGCCCUAUGGGGUGUAAACUUCUUUUAUAAAGGAAUAAAACGAGGCACGUGUGCCUUUUUGCAUGUACUUUAUGAAUAAGGGUAGGCUAACUCCAUGCCAGCAACCGCUGUAAUACGGAGGAUCCGAGCGUUCUCCGGAUUUAUUGGGUUUAAAGGGAGCGUAGAUGGGUUGUUAAGUCAGUUGUGAAAGUUUGCGGCUCAACCGUAAAAGUGCAAUUGAUACUGGCAGUCUUGAGUACAGUUGAGGUAGGCGGAAUUCGUGGUGUAGCGGUGAAAUGCUUAGAUAUCACGAAGAACCCCGAUUGCGAAGGCAGCUUACUAAACUGUGACUGACAUUGAUGCUCGAAAGUGUGGGUAUCAAACAGGAUUAGAUACCCGUGUAGUC